UACGAAGGGGGCUAGCGUUGCUCGGAAUCACUGGGCGUAAAGGGCGCGUAGGCGGCCAAUCAAGUCAGGGGUGAAAGCCCGAGGCUCAACCUCGGAAUUGCCCUUGAUACUGUUUGGCUCGAGACCGGUAGAGGUAAGUGGAACUGCGAGUGUAGAGGUGAAAUUCGUAGAUAUUCGCAAGAACACCAGUGGCGAAGGCGGCUUACUGGACCGGUUCUGACGCUGAGGCGCGAAAGCGUGGGGAGCAAACAGG
rnacentral:rRNA from 1 species